rnacentral:rRNA from 1 species
AACGAACGCUGGCGGCAUGCCUAACACAUGCAAGUCGAACGAGACCUUCGGGUCUAGUGGCGCACGGGUGCGUAACGCGUGGGAACCUGCCUUUAGGUUCGGAAUAACUCAGAGAAAUUUGAGCUAAUACCGGAUGAUGUCUUCGGACCAAAGAUUUAUCGCCUUUAGAUGGGCCCGCGUUGGAUUAGCUAGUUGGUGGGGUAAAGGCCUACCAAGGCGACGAUCCAUAGCUGGUCUGAGAGGAUGAUCAGCCUCACUGGGACUGAGACACGGCCCAGACUCCUACGGGAGGCAGCAGUGGGGAAUAUUGGACAAUGGGCGAAAGCCUGAUCCAGCAAUGCCGCGUGAGUGAUGAAGGCCUUAGGGUUGUAAAGCUCUUUUACCCGAGAUGAUAAUGACAGUAUCGGGAGAAUAAGCUCCGGCUAACUCCGUG